AACGCACGAGACCUGCGGACCUGCGGAAGGAUCAUUACAAGUGACCCCGGUCUAACCACCGGGAUGUUCAUAACCCUUUGUUGUCCGACUCUGUUGCCUCCGGGGCGACCCUGCCUUCGGGCGGGGGCUCCGGGUGGACACUUCAAACUCUUGCGUAACUUUGCAGUCUGAGUAAACUUAAUUAAUAAAUUAAAACUUUCAACAAUGGAUCUCU
rnacentral:misc_RNA from 1 species